GUGGGCGGCCGUGAGCUGGGGCGGCAGGAACGCAGCCCGCCGCUCCGCUCCUCUCAACAAGCAAGGGGAAUUGAGUCCCUCAGAGACUGGACUCCCCUACUGCAGAAAACUAAAAUUCAUCUCAGAGUGACCCUUGGACCCACACAGAACAGAACAGCUGCACUUGGUGUCCAGUGUGGUGGUGCUUGGAGAAAGGAGGGAUCCAACACUCCAGAACUGAAGGACACACAAAUUUGUGGAUACCAUCAGAACUGACAUGAGCAAGAGAAGUCCCUUGGAUGCUUUGGCUGCUGACAUCGGUGACUUGACUUGGGGAAAGAAGAGAUACAGAAAGCCAUUGAAGUAGACAGUUGAUCCUUUCACCUUGGGGACAGCUUAAGAAUUUGUGUGGCAAAGAGGGAACAUUAGUCUGACGGACCAGAAAAACCUCUGGAUGCUACAGCUUUGUUCUUUGUUAUGCUGUUUGUGGUAACUGCAAAGAGCAAGGCCAGCCAUCUGAAUACCAGUGAAGCUGUCGAGACCAUGGCAACGCUCACCUGUGAUGAGUGAGUGCAGAAAGAAUAUUAAGAUGAACUCGUCAACCUCUUGGACUGGUUGUUGUCGUUUGGAGCAUCGUUGCAUUGGCUGCUGCUGCUACAACAGCUGGACCGGCACGUCAUACGGAAACUCAAAU